rnacentral:misc_RNA from 1 species
AAUUCUCAAACCUAAUGAGUUUGUUUACAAAUUUGUUAGGCUUUGGACUUGGAAGCUGCUGGCUAACGGUCGGCUCUUCUUAAAUGUAUUAGUGGCUUGUCGAUCCCCAUUAUUGGUGUGAUAGUCAUAUCUACAUCAAGUAUAAUGGUUAGGUCAUGCGAUGACAAUAAUGGCUGCUCUCUAACUGUCUGGCUUGCUAGACGAUCUGAACC